rnacentral:rRNA from 1 species
UACGUAGGUGGCAAGCGUUGUCCGGAAUUAUUGGGCGUAAAGCGCGCGCAGGCGGUCCUUUAAGUCUGAUGUGAAAGCCCACGGCUCAACCGUGGAGGGUCAUUGGAAACUGGGGGACUUGAGUACAGAAGAGAAGAGUGGAAUUCCACGUGUAGCGGUGAAAUGCGUAGAGAUGUGGAGGAACACCAGUGGCGAAGGCGACUCUUUGGUCUGUAACUGACGCUGAGGUGCGAAAGCAUGGGGAGCAAACAGG